rnacentral:rRNA from 1 species
UACGUAGGGGGCGAGCGUUGUCCGGAUUUAUUGGGCGUAAAGAGCUCGUAGGCGGCUUGUCGCGUCGACUGUGAAAUCCCGCGGCUCAACUGCGGGUCUGCAGUCGAUACGGACAGGCUAGAGUUCGGUAGGGGGAGACUGGAAUUCCUGGUGUAGCGGUGAAAUGCGCAGAUAUCAGGAGGAACACCAGCGGCGAAGGCGGCGCUCUGGGCCGGAACUGACGCUGAGGAGCGAAAGCGUGGGGAGCAAACAGG